AGGUGCCCCGUCUAACCCAUGCAAGUCGAGCGGUGAGAGGAGCUUGCUCCUCGAUUUACCGGCGGACGGGUGAGUAAUGCCUAGGAAUCUGCCUAGUAGUGGGGGACAACGUUUCGAAAGGAACGCUAAUACCGCAUACGUCCUACGGGAGAAAGUGGGGGAUCUUCGGACCUCACGCUAUUAGAUGAGCCUAGGUCGGAUUAGCUAGUUGGUAGGGUAAAGGCCUACCAAGGCGACGAUCCGUAACUGGUCUGAGAGGAUGAUCAGUCACACUGGAACUGAGACACGGUCCAGACUCCUACGGGAGGCAGCAGUGGGGAAUAUUGGACAAUGGGCGAAAGCCUGAUCCAGCCAUGCCGCGUGUGUGAAGAAGGCCUUCGGGUCGUAAAGCACUUUAAGUUGGGAGGAAGGGCUCAUAGCGAAUACCUGUGAGUUUUGACGUUACCAACAGAAUAAGCACCGGCUAACUUCGUGCCAGCAGCCGCGGUAAUACGAAGGGUGCAAGCGUUAAUCGGAAUUACUGGGCGUAAAGCGCGCGUAGGUGGCUUGAUAAGUUGGAUGUGAAAUCCCCGGGCUCAACCUGGGAACUGCAUCCAAAACUGUCUGGCUAGAGUGCGGUAGAGGGUAGUGGAAUUUCCAGUGUAGCGGUGAAAUGCGUAGAUAUUGGAAGGAACCACCAGUGGCGAAGGCGACUACCUGGGACUGACACUGACACUGAGGUGCGAAAACCGUGGGGAGCA
rnacentral:rRNA from 1 species